rnacentral:rRNA from 1 species
AGCCUCCGCGAUAAUUCGGAGGGUGCGAGCGUUUUCCGGAAUCACUGGGCGUAAAGGGCGCGUAGGCGGCUCGGAGAGUCAACGGUGAAAGCUCGGGGCUCAACCCCGAGUCGGCCGUCGAUACUUCCGUGCUGGAGCACUGUAGAGGCAGGUGGAAUUCCGGGUGUAGCGGUGGAAUGCGUAGAGAUCCGGAAGAACACCGGUGGCGAAGGCGGCCUGCUGGGCAGUAGCUGACGCUGAUGCGCGACAGCGUGGGGAGCAAACAGGAUUAGAUACCCUGGCAGUCCACGCCGUAAGCGAUGGGCACUAGGUGCUUGGGGGAGCGACCCUCUGAGUGCCGGCGCUAACGCAUUAAGUGCCCCGCCUGGGGAGUACGGCCGCAAGGCUGAAACUCAAAGGAAUGACGG